rnacentral:misc_RNA from 1 species
UUUCCGUAGGUGAACCUGCGGAAGGAUCAUUAUUGAAACUUCAUCCGGGGCGCCGCGGCCCUCAGCACCGGUGGAAACGCCGUGCUGCGGGAGCCGCGCGUGCGCUCGUCCAAACCAAACCCCUGUGAACCUUACGGGAUGGCCCGGGUUAGCGCCCGGUGCCGUUCCGCUUUAUACAAACACUUAUCAAAGAAUGAACUGAAGGCGGUCUGACCGCUGGAUAACAAACUGAAACAACUUUCAACAACGGAUCUCUUGGCUCUC